UACGUAGGGUGCAAGCGUUGUCCGGAAUUAUUGGGCGUAAAGAGCUCGUAGGCGGUUUGUCGCGUCUGCUGUGAAAACUCAGGGCUUAACCCUGAGCCUGCAGUGGGUACGGGCAGACUAGAGUGUGGUAGGGGAGAGCGGAACUCCUGGUGUAGCGGUGGAAUGCGCAGAUAUCAGGAAGAACACCGGUGGCGAAGGCGGCUCUCUGGGCCUUACCUGACGCUGAGGAGCGAAAGCGUGGGUAGCGAACAGG
rnacentral:rRNA from 1 species